GGGCUACGUGCAGACGACGGCGCCCGAGGUGCUGCGCAACCUGCUGCACGCGGAGCCCGUGGCCUCCAAGCCCUUCAGCCUGCUGGACCUGGGCUCCGUGGGGCUGUUCGGCGCCGAGACGCAGCAGAGCCGCGUGGCGCCCGGC